UAUAUAUGCAGCAAUUUAUUAAUCAACGAUAAAUUUUUAAAUAAAGUUCAGAUCCGCAACGAAUUAAUUUUUAUCUUGUCAGAUUGAAAAAUAUCGUAAAAAAAAAAAACAAAGCAUAACGAAUGAAAACGUGGAUAGAAUAUAAGUAUAGAACAAAGGUGCAUGACUACGUGUCAAGCAAAGAACAAUGAAUCCAAUGCAGUCAAAUUUAGAAGAAAUAGUUUUAGUUUUAUUUGAAUAUAAUGCUUAUGGUAUUUUAUAUUAAAUGAAAUAUAAACUCUAAUCAAUAAUAAUAAAUGAUAUGAGGAUUUGAAAUACAUUGAUAAUUAUGAAGAAACACUUUUCACAAGUCUUCAGAGUAGUUGAUUCCAUUGUGAUUGUAAGGUUCAAAUUCAAUAGAGAAAUGGCUGCAAAGGGUAUAAAAACUUUUGACAUUAUAUCAUAUUAGCUUCUAAAUCAGUUACUAAGAUGUAGAACUCUGAUUAAAACAACUUUGUAACUUGUUUCAUUCACUUUAAAAUGUUACAUUCUGUUUUCACCAUGUAUUGGUUCAAAUCUUGAUUGCAUUAUUAUUCAAUUAGUUUAAUAAAGCAUUAAAAUCAAUGUUCAAUAUCUUCAGCUUCUGAAGAUGUUUUCAGGGAAUUUUGACAAGUCUUCCCAAUCCUGAAGGUGGUGAACGUGGAAAAUUGUAUAGUUUGCCUGCUCUGAAUGAUCCUAGAAUUGUUCCCCAUAUUCUAUAAGGAUUCUGCUAGAUUCCGCAAGUAGAAAUUGUGACAACUUUAAAGUGACUAAGAAUGACGUCGAAUUGAUUAUGGAUUGGAAGAACAUUUCUACUAAGCAAACUGAGAUUCCUUUCAUGCCAGCUCGUGUUCUGCUUCAGGGAUGCCAUCGGGGUUCCGGCUUUGGUUGAUCUUGCUUCUAUGAGGGAUUCCACGAAGAACCUUGGCAAUGAUCCUAAUGAGAUUAGUCCUCUGGUUCCAGUGGAGCUUGUUAUAGAUCACUCAAUUCACGUUGAUGUAGCAAGAUCAGAUGAUGCACUACAAGCAAAUAGGGAAUGUAAGUUCUAUAGGAGGAAUUGAAGCAGAGGCAAAAAUGCUUGGCCAGGUAAAGUAUAUUUAAUAAAAGUUGUUUGUUUCUAGAUAUAAAUCAAGAUAAAAAUUGCAUGUUAGCUUAUAGUUUUAGUAGUAUGAUCUGAUUACAUAUGUUUUCACAUAUUUCUAGCUUUGAUGAUCAUGAUAACUGCAUUCAAAUUUUUGGUGUGACAGCCAAUGAGUAUGAUCUUGCCUGGUGUUGCGAAAACAUGGUGUCCUCAGCUUAUUGAAAUAUACCUUCAGGUGAAGGCAUGGGAGAAAUGUCAUUGGCUGAUAGCCUGAUAGGGCUACAAUUGCAAAUAUGUGUCCAGAAUAUGUAUUCUCUUAGAUUAACAGGAAUAAGUGAACAAAAAGUGACACAUUCUUUCUGUU